rnacentral:misc_RNA from 1 species
GUUUUUCUCUAAAUGACAAGAUCCGGCCCUUGUGAUCUAUCUUCGCUAAUCCAAAAUCUGAUGCACGGCUGCCAUCCAUAGGUACACAAGAUAUAGUAAUAUCUGCACCACUUUGUCGGUGACUCUGAACCAUGUCCAUACAGUCUGUACGACAAAGAUGAUCUCCGGAAAGAAUCAAUACGUCUUCAAUCUCCUUACCUUUGGCAUCCUCAAACAACCAAUGAAACUGCCUCACUGCAUCUGC